rnacentral:lncRNA from 1 species
AAUAUUGUAAGUUAUGUUGAAUCUUUACAGAUUGAUUUUAUCAAUUGGACUGUCUGCUGCUUGGUGGUUAUGAAAUUUGAAAUGUGUUUACAGAGAAAGGCAUCAGAGAUAGAAAUGUGAAUGCGGCUGAAAAGAUUGUAAGUUAUGUUGAAUCUUUACAAAUUGAUUUUAUCAAUUGGACUAUCUGCUGCUUGGUGGUUAUGAAAUUCGAAAUGUGUUUACAGAGAAAGGCAUCAGAGAUAGAAAUGUGUUUACAAAUAAUUUUAUCAAUUGGACUGUCUGCUGUUUGGUGGUUAUGAAAUUUGAAAUGUGUUUACAGAGAAAGGCAUCAAAGAUAGAACUAAAGGGUCGUCAAGAUUCAAUGACAACGAGUCCAA